CGUAGGUGGCAAGCGUUGUCCGGAAUUAUUGGGCGUAAAGGGCGCGUAGGCGGUCCCUUAAGUCAGAUGUGAAAACUCCCGGAGGUACUUUAACCGUCGGGCGUGCUAUUUAGAACGGUGGGGACUAGAGUGCAGGAGAGGUAAGUGGAAUUCCUAGUGUAGCGGUGAAAUGCGUAGAUAUUAGGAGGAACACCAGUGGCGAAGGCGACUUACUGGACUGUAACUGACGCUGAGGCGCGAAAGCGUGGGGAGCAAACAGGAUUAGAUACCCUGGUAGUCCACGCUGUAAACGAUGGAUACUGGGUGUGGGAGGUAUCGACCCCUUCCGUGCCGCAGUAAACGCAAUAAGUAUCCCGCCUGGGGAGUACGGCCGCAAGGUUG
rnacentral:rRNA from 1 species